rnacentral:rRNA from 1 species
GACGAACGCUGGCGGCGUGCUUAACACAUGCAAGUCGAACGGAAAGGCCCUGCUUUUGUGGGGUGCUCGUGUGGCGCAGGGGUGUGAAACACGUGUGUAACCUGCCCUUGACUUUGGGAUAACUUCAGGAAACUGGGGCUAAUACCGGAUAGGAGCUCUUGCUGCAUGGUGGGGGUUGGAAAGUUUCGGCGGUGGGGGAUGGACUCGCGGCUUAUCAGCUUGGUGGUGGGGUAGUGGCUUACGAAGGCUUUGACGGGUAGGCGGCAUGAGAGGGUGAGCGGCCACAUGAGGACGGAGAGACGGAGCAGACUCCGAGGGGAGGCAGUGGGGGAGAAUGUUGCACAGUGGGCGGACGGAUGAUGCAACGCCGCGGGGGGGGGGAUGGCGUCCGGGUUGUUAAAAACUUUUUUCGAUGGUGACGAACUUGUGGUGACGGUAAUGGGUGAAGAAGCACCGGCUAACUACGUG